rnacentral:rRNA from 1 species
UACGUAGGGGGCAAGCGUUGUCCGGAUUUAUUGGGCGUAAAGAGCGUGUAGGCGGCUAGGUAGGUCCGUUGUGAAAACUCGAGGCUCAACCUCGAGACGCCGGUGGAAACCAUCUAGCUAGAGUCCGGAAGAAGAGAGUGGAAUUCCUGGUGUAGCGGUGAAAUGCGUAGAUAUCAAGUGGAACACCAGUGGCGAAGGCGAGUCUCUGGACAUUUCCUGACGCUGAGGCACGAAAGCCAGGGGAGCAAACGGG